AGUCUAGUGCAGCAAGGCAGAACUGGGACCUGGAGCUCCAAUCAGACACCAAGAGUGAGCCCUGGAAAACAGCUAUCUAUGGGAGGACUGAGGGGGAGAGAGCAGUGGCUUGACUGUGCACAACCUUGCAGCUUCACAAGAGAGUGAGGUGGAGGAGGAUCUGCUCCUUUUGCCUCUGCACAGGUUCCAAACACCCCAAAAGGAGAACAGGAACCCUGAAGAAUAAGCAGGUGAAUCAGCUGAUGGUAUGCAAUGUUAUUGUGCUAUAAAAUAUGUUGAGUACGGUCUUUUAUAAAAGCUUGUAAUGUUCUAAACAUAAUCAUUAUGAGAUGUAUCCGGGCUAUGGUUAUAUGUAUUUGUGUGUCUAUAGAGAACUGGGCCAUAAACUUAGGAUCCAACUCACAGCAGAACAGUGAGCAAUCAGACAGGGAGGGACACCUUCCAAGCCAGAUGUCUACAUGUAUCUAGCUUCAAACAACAAACCAUUGUCCAGCCCAGAAAAAGACCAGGAUGGGACACUAGAGUUAAUGGAAAGAUAUUGAGGUAUCUGGGCUUUCAGUCAAGAGGGGGUUUCCACACUCUGAAUAAACAUGAGUCACCAUGGACUGAGAGAAAGAAAAGAAUAAAAGAGAGGGGGGGAAAAAAGCCUUUUAAAAGCAGGAUUGUGUCUGAAGUUUUUCAUCCAGAAAAUGAGGGACAGUCUGUAGGCAGGAAGCUGUCUGUGAAAGGCAGGAUCCCCUCUAUAGCUUGGGGGUAAGCUGGGAAAAUGUUCAAAGGCACUAGGUAACGCAUUAGAAAAGGGGUUUUAUUUAUCUAAUAUGGAAAUGCAAAGCCUGUGCAGUUGUGUGUUUGUGUAUUUAUUGUGUAACUUGUAUGUGUAUGCACGGCCUCACUAUUUCAUUUUUGAAUCUGGGUUUUUUCUGUUAAAUAAAUGUAUUGUUUGUUUUUACCCCAAGCAGGUCUCUGUUGUGCAAACUGCACAGGGUGUG